UUGGCAGAGGGGUUGGUCUCGAUGAUCUCUAGAGGUCCCUUCCAACCCCUAUGAUUCUGUGAUUCUGUGAUGUAUCGAAUCUAAUGAGAUGAUAAAAACAGAGUUGAGAGAACCUCUGAAGAUUCACAUCCCGAAUUGUGGAUACAGAAAUAUAGUCACGUGAACAAUGUGGGGACGACUAGAGGGCAUUGUGGUGGUGAAGGUGAUGGUCACUUUGCUUGAAGGGUGCUCUACCCCCGACCUGGCCUGUUUUUUGGGCUAUGGGUCCACCGCCUUGCUUUCUGUAUCAGCAGCUUUCUGACAUGCUACUCCUGACACAUGGUUUGCUGUCUGUGGCAAAACAGUUCUGAAUGUCAUCAAGAAGUAUGACUGGUUGCUGCUGGGUGGGGUGGCUAUAAGGAAGGGAUCAUGUCUGCAGCAUCUCCCAUGCAAAGAGAGGAGUCAGGUGCCUUCCUCACUGCAGCUGGUAGCGAGGCAGUGGGGCCAGGCUUGCUGCUGUGGGGCUCGGGAGAGAGGUGGAUGCGCAGGGCUUCUCCACAUCCGUGUCCCUGGCAGCCCCUGGUAACAGUGGUAAGCAGGAGCAGCGGAAAAAGUGAUGGAACAAAAGUACAUUAAAUAUUAAUAAGAUGAGUGAUGUAGAGGAGCUCUGAGGGAGUUUAUACACAAAGGCAGCCAAGCUUCAACUAAAAAUAAGCAACCUAAUGUUAAAAUCAGGUCCCCAGCUGAGGAAGUGAGGGUAGAAAGUACUGUGCCCACCUUUAAAAAAACAAGUGCUAGGGCUGAUUUUCAAUAUUUUGGAUAAUUAGUUGAACAGUAAAGAUAUUCUUGGGCACUUAGAUUACAGGAAAAGAAAGAGAAGGAACACGCGAAGGAUGGCUCUUUGAUAUACUAACUAACAUCUGUGAAAGCUACUGCCAGAGGAGUCAUAGUUUUUCCUUCAGAUGAGAGGAAAUGGAAACAGGGAGGGACUUGUCCUGAGCAGCUGGUGUGACACAGAAGCACCAAGGAGCUGUUAUAUGUCGAUUGGGAUCCAAGUUGUGCAAGAAACGUCUGCAGAGCGACAGCAUGCUGAGCCUGGUACCUGGGAGUGAUGGCACACCGGGGGUACGUGGGGUGGGACGUAAGUGUCAGUCUCCUGACACAGCAAUCUGUUUGGUAUUGUCUCUCUUCCCAAAUAUAGAAUGGUUUUCUGAAAUCAUGACAAAA